rnacentral:misc_RNA from 1 species
AACGCACGAGACCUGCGGACCUGCGGAAGGAUCAUUACCGAGUUAUACAACUCCCAAACCCACUGUGAACCUUACCUCAGUUGCCUCGGCGGGAACGCCCCGGCCGCCUGCCCCCGCGCCGGCGCCGGACCCAGGCGCCCGCCGCAGGGACCCCAAACUCUCUUGCAUUACGCCCAGCGGGCGGAAUUUCUUCUCUGAGUUGCACAAGCAAAAACAAAUGAAUCAAAACUUUCAGCAACG